AUAGGUACACUGCAGAGAACCUGAGAAUUUGGAUCAAGUGUUCCUGUUCAUGUUCCCAUGUUUGUUUUUUCAAUCGUUUUCCAGUUAAGCUGCUCCUGGCCUCAGCUCAGGUCUCUACUUCUUUCUAAUUUGCCACAAUCCACCAGGCAUUUACAUUAACGAGACGUAAAAGGAGUUUCUGCUGUGGGCCAGGCCUAGCGCUGGUCUUUCACAUCUAUUAUCUCAGUUAAAUGUCUUGACAACACUAUAAGCUGGAUUAUUGCUAUUCUCAACUCAUAAUGAGGAAACUGGCUUCAUAGAGUGACCGACCAUCCAGUUUUCCUGGGACUCAGGGGUCUCCAAGGACAUGAAGUUUGGCAUUUGGAAACCGGUACAGUUGGAGAAACGGGGCAAAGUGGUCACCCUGGGCUCAGAGAAGUUAAAGAACUUGCCUGAGGUCACACAGCUGGAAAGUGGCUGAGCCAGGAUUCAGAAUCGGUUCCCCUGAUACCAAAUAAAUCUUGGUGGAAGUGAAUGUGAAGUAAGAGGGAAUAGAGUCUGAGGUCUGUCUCAGACUCCUGGACCGCCUUCUGACCGGCUAGGAUGUGUGGGCAAAGGUGGAAGGAGGCCGCCACAGUGCUUGGCUUUCUGCAUGUCACAGGCAAGGUGGAUAUUAGAAGCCCUUGUCAGUUUUACAAAUCCAGAGCAGAUAGAAAGAAGGUUUCUGACAGCCCUGGUGUGAGCCAUGUGCCCAUGAUGAAUCCAAUCACCGUGGUUAGGUCAUCUGGUUUGCUCCAGCCCCUGGGACACAGAGCUGUGAGAAAGCAUGCAUCCUUUCAGAUCCAACUGGUGGCGGGCGUGACCCUCCAGGAAAUUUUCCUUUGCUGGCUGCCCGAGUUGGCCAGACAACUUAUCCUCUGAUUGGGGGGUCACACAUCACCCCAAGAGAAUGGUGAUUUUUUUCUGAAGGCAAUGGCAGCAGAGGGAGAGGGAGGAGGCUUAAAAUAACACACACACACACACACACACACACACACGUGCGCACAUGCAGAAGACCAAUGUGUAACACUGAUGGACUCACACAGACUUCAGGAUUAAUUUAUAGAUGCUUCUUAAGCUGAAGUGACUCGUUCAGGCAGCUGGGCCAGGCCAGGCCACGCUUCUUGGGCUUUCCAUCUGCUGAACCAUUCCCGCCUCAGCCCCAGCUAAUGUAGAGGAAGAAAAGUGCUGACAGUGGCCACAGGCCAUGGUGGGAUCAUGCUCCAGGUCUUUGCACUCAAGCCGCCUGGAAUGGCAGAGUUCUAAUGAUUUUUUUUUUUUUAACUUCUUCAUUGUUUUGUUUUUUAACUGCAGCAAAAUCUUCAGAGGGUGCCAUAUACCUGUCUUUUGUGUGUAAUGCAACGACUUUUGAUGGACGUAUAUACCACGUCACCCAAGUUACAAAACAUUCCAUUGCCCCAGAAAGUUCUUUUGUGUCCCUUCCAGUUACAGUCACCCCAAAGGUGCCAUUCUUCUGAUUUCUUUCACCAUACCCAAAUUCUAGAGCUUCAUGUCAGAACAAUCACCCUAGGUUUAUUAUCUUGUAUUAUUUUUUUUCCACUCAGCCCAAGGUCUGUGAAGUUCAUCCAGCUGUUGUGUGCAUCGGUAUUUGAAUCCAAUAUCCUCUGACUCCUAGCCCAGCAUGUGAACCCACACCUGUUGGUUUGCCUCUGUUCACUGGCAGUUCUGUUGUUUCCAGUUUGGGGCUAUUGCGAAGAAAGCUGCACCAAGCAUCCAUGUACCAGACACUGUGUGGACACAGGCUUUCAUUCUCUUCAAUUAAAAAUCUAAGAGUAGAACUGCUGGAUCAUAAGGAGGCAAAUAUUUAAAAUUUAGAAGAAAUUUAUCAUUGAAGCAGUUGUACUGCUUACACUAUCUGCACAAAUGUGGGGGAGUGGCAGUCCACCAGCUCUUUAUCCUCACCAAGGUUUCAUGUUGCUGGUCUAGGGCCUGAACCCAUGGCAUAUGGGUCUAAUCGGAGCUGUAGCUGCUGGCCUACACCACAGCCACAGCAACACAGUAUUCGAGCCAUAUC